GUUGGUGUGGUGUAGUGGUUAUCAUGUUAGUUUUACACACUACAGGUCCUUAGUUCCAUCCUGGGUAUCAACA
rfam:Ipomoea nil DNA, scaffold: scaffold0140, cultivar: Tokyo-kokei standard.